GGUGAGCUAUCCGUGGUCGACGAGUCACGGCGGGUCAUUGUCCAGGCGGUGCAUGAACUCUACGAUCGCGAGGUCACCACGCCCUGGGAGGAGAGGACGACCAGGACAUGCACCAUCGUCUUUAUAGGUCGCAACUUGGAUGAGGAGUCUCUGCAGAAAGAAUUUACCAACCUGAUAGAAGAGUCAGACGAGACUAUGGUGCAGUGACCAACACUAUUGACGUAUGUAGCCAUUCAGCGACCACCAUUAUCAGCACCUCGUAAUGUAGCCCAUCCCCCUUGCACAGAGGUGUCAUUUCCAUUGCGUUAAUACCUGCGCUAAUACAUGCGCUAAUAAAUUAUGUUACGUGAUGGCAAUAAGCUCACACGGUCAUGUACGCCAUUCAACGUGGUGUGCAACGUUCACUUUCCACUUCCCUUAAAACAAAUAUUUUAUCUAGUCAUGCUAGUAGUAGUAUGGUGCGUCAAGAUCGCACCAGUCGUUGACGCAGUCUGUCGCAGUCUAACGUCAGGUAAAUGACACCACGUGUGCAACUGGCAUGAUGAACCUAUUCAGUUGAGCAGCACCUACUGGUGUGAGGAACAUGGGUCAAUUAUUGACUUAUUUCUGUUCCACUACACAGUAAAGAUACAGAGUGCCAAACCCAGAGAAGAGAUAAAGAGAGAGAGAGAGAGAUUGGCUGAAGAGAAAGAGAGAUCACGGUUAUUUUGUGCUCAAAUUAUAAAAUAAUCAUGCUUUCACGAAACACUAGGCCCUAUCACAAUUUGUGUCUAUAUAAUACACAGGUCUGUAGGUGUAGUUUUUUUUUCUUUACACACGUAGCUCAGGUUUAUUACAGUUUAACUGAGGAUUGCUUGAUAUUCCUUAUGUAUCAAAUCCGUGAAAUAAUACGUUCUCAGGUUUGCUACUUAACGAUUUGACAUGUCACGUCUUUUGACAUAAUUUGGGCCCUGAUCUGAGGCUUGCAAGAGGUUUAGCUCAUUCCAACGCACAAUUUACAUGGUUUAGUGUUUCUCCGGAAUGAUACAUUUAUAAGAUAUUCAUUCACGAAUAGACAACUCUCCCAGCAAUAUAAUAUAAUGGCCUUAUACCAAGUAGGCAGCGUACUUUUAAUGGUUCAGACGGAUUAAAUUUGAUCAGAUGUCAGUUAUGCCAAUAUCGUUUUAUUCUUUGAUAAUCGCUGUUCUCCCUUCUCCCUUUCAACAGGUACACUUUGUAUGCAUGGAUUGUAGUUUUGGGCCUAAAUAGCAAAAAUAAAUGUUUAUUUAUAGCGAUUUAGAAAAAUUUCUCAGUUAUCGAAUCUUAUGAAACGAACCAUCGAAGGAUAAAAUAUCAAUUACUUCAGCAUUCGAGAUAUGGGUCAUUUGUAAGGCAAUGACCCGAUUGGUCACGCCCCAUAUAUACACCCAGAAUAAUCGGAUGUUUAUUUGACUAAAAUAAUUUUGAUUCUCUUAUUUCAAUGUGAACUCAUCAUCAUUAUAUCGAAGGUAUAGUGGUUGAUUGCGUUUAAGUCUGGAUAUUAAUUGGACAGUCAUUGUCCUAUUUGCAUUUAUUGACACAAUCCCGUGACCAUUUAAUACGCUACCUGAAAACUUUUAGAGUAAGACUUGUUAGUAGCUUGAAUUUGAAUGGCAAUUUUGUAAUUACAGUUUUAAACUUUUAAUCAUGAAAAUAGGUACUGACAUUGCAUUUUCCCCGGGGGCUAAACGACAAACUGUUUUUUAUUGGGUUAACAGUACAAGGGAUCUACAGUUUCAACAUUAGGUCUCAAAGAAAAACUUGAAAUUUGAAUACAAAAUCAUGUUUAGACUAUCUUUGUCUAUUUCUUAUUGUUUUGUUUUGUAUCAUCAGACAUAUAUGUUAUGAUAAGCAUGAUAAAUACAAAAAUAAAAAUGCCACCAAUUGGGGCAUCCCUUUUUUCAACUUCUGUAGCGAAAUAUCGUUAGUUCAAAUUACUCGAGUGUGAUAUUUUCAGAAUAUGAAACGUGAAAGGCCUAUACAUAAUUGUAAAUACUAGUACAUACAAUUCUCGAGGUCAAUUUCAAUUAAGAAAUAGCAUUACCAAGAAAUAGGUAGGAGUCAGGAGGCCCCCAUAACCCCUUUGUUGGAUUCAUUUCGUAUCGUUGUCUUCUUGACAAUUAAUAGUUUCUGUUGAAGUAGCUAUUAAUCCAUUGCAUCGUUUCGAAAUUUCAAGUAAUUUUGAACAAUUCAUAUGCCCUGUGAUAAAAUGAGCCCGAACCUGGCUGUCGACGAAUUCUUGAAGAACCAAUCUAUAUAUUUAUUUUAACAAUUCUACUGUAAUUCACUGUUUUGUUUCCACCACAAUGAAAGUGGGCAGGGGUAGAAGCAAUGCCAAUUUCACUUUACACGGUUCCACAUUCAAGUCACUUGAUAUGUUGCAAUUUUCGUGUUCCGAUUGGAGCAUGCUGGUAAUGCAUGCUCAAUAUGGAAUGAAACGAUCGGGAUUAUGACUGAAACGUUUUGUUCCGACUUUCUAUGUGUCGAAAUGCAUUGUCAUUGUAUAAUAAAGACCUUUUUUGUAAAGAAAACGACAA